rnacentral:rRNA from 1 species
AUACAGAGGGUGCGAGCGUUAAUCGGAAUUACUGGGCGUAAAGCGCGCGUAGGCGGUUACUUAAGUCAGAUGUGAAAUCCCCGGGCUCAACCUGGGAACUGCAUUUGAAACUGGGUAACUAGAGUUUAGUAGAGGGGAGUGGAAUUUCAGGUGUAGCGGUGAAAUGCGUAGAGAUCUGAAGGAACACCAGUGGCGAAGGCGACUCCCUGGACUAAAACUGACGCUGAGGUACGAAAGCGUGGGUAGCAAACAGGAUUAGAAACCCGAGUAGUCC